rnacentral:rRNA from 1 species
GACGAACGCUGGCGGUGUGCUUAACACAUGCAAGUCGAACGGUAAGGCCCUUUCGGGGGUACACGAGUGGCGAACGGGUGAGUAACACGUGAGUAACCUGCCCUCAUCUCUGGGAUAACAGUCGGAAACGGUUGCUAAUACUGGAUAUGAGCUUGCAAGGCAUCUUGUGGGUUGGAAAGAUUUUUUUUGGUUGGGGAUGGACUCGCGGCCUAUCAGCUUGUUGGUGAGGUAGUGGCUCACCAAGGCUUCGACGGGUAGCCGGCCUGAGAGGGCGACCGGCCACAUUGGGACUGAGAUACAGACCAAACUCCUACGGAAGGCAGCAGUGGGGAAUAUUGCACCAUGGACGGAAGGCUGAUGCAGCAACGCCGCGUGCGGGAUGACGGCCUUCGGGUUGUAAACCGCUUUCAAUUGUGAAGAAGCUUUUUUGUGACGGUAGCAGUAGAAGAAGCACCGGCUAACUACGUG